AUUGAACGCUGGCGGCAUGCUUUACACAUGCAAGUCGAACGGCAGCACGGGCUUCGGCCUGGUGGCGAGUGGCGAACGGGUGAGUAAUGCAUCGGAACGUGCCCAUGUUGUGGGGGGAUAACUACGCGAAAGCGUGGCUAAUACCGCAUACGCCCUGAGGGGGAAAGCGGGGGAUUCUUCGGAACCUCGCGCAAUUGGAGCGGCCGAUGUCAGAUUAGCUUGUUGGUGAGGUAAAGGCUCACCAAGGCGACGAUCUGUAGCGGGUCUGAGAGGAUGAUCCGCCACACUGGGACUGAGACACGGCCCAGACUCCUACGGGAGGCAGCAGUGGGGAAUAUUGGACAAUGGGCGCAAGCCUGAUCCAGCAAUGCCGCGUGUGUGAAGAAGGCCUGCGGGUUGUAAAGCACUUCAGUGGGAGAACAGUUCGGUCAAUACCCGGAGCCUGACGUUACCACCAGAAGAAGCACCGGCGUAACUCCGUGCCAG
rnacentral:rRNA from 1 species